rnacentral:tRNA from 1 species
GGCUGUGUGGCUCAAUGGCAGAGUGUUGGUUUUCGGUUAUCAAUGAUAAUAAAUAGAAAAUAACUAUUUAUGUCAUGAGGCCCUCACCAAAGGUUGUGGGUUCGAGUCCCAUCGCGGUCG